AGCGAACGCUGGCGGCAGGCCUAACACAUGCAAGUCGAACGAACUCUUCGGAGUUAGUGGCGGACGGGUGAGUAACACGUGGGAACGUGCCUUUAGGUUCGGAAUAACUCAGGGAAACUUGUGCUAAUACCGAAUGUGCCCUUCGGGGGAAAGAUUUAUCGCCUUUAGAGCGGCCCGCGUCUGAUUAGCUAGUUGGUGAGGUAAAGGCUCACCAAGGCGACGAUCAGUAGCUGGUCUGAGAGGAUGAUCAGCCACAUUGGGACUGAGACACGGCCCAAACUCCUACGGGAGGCAGCAGUGGGGAAUCUUGCGCAAUGGGCGAAAGCCUGACGCAGCCAUGCCGCGUGAAUGAUGAAGGUCUUAGGAUUGUAAAAUUCUUUCACCGGGGACGAUAAUGACGGUACCCGGUGAAGAAGCCCCGGCUAACUUCGUG
rnacentral:rRNA from 1 species